rnacentral:rRNA from 1 species
GAUGAACGCUAGCGGCAGGCCUAACACAUGCAAGUCGAGGGGUAGAAUUAGCUUGCUAAUUUGAGACCGGCGCACGGGUGCGUAACGCGUACGCAAUCUGCCUUGUACUGAGGGAUAGCCCAGAGAAAUUUGGAUUAAUACCUCAUAGUAUUAUGAUGUGGCAUCACAUUAUAAUUAAAGUUCCAACGGUACAAGAUGAGCAUGCGUCCCAUUAGUUAGUUGGUAAGGUAACGGCUUACCAAGACGAUGAUGGGUAGGGGUCCUGAGAGGGAGAUCCCCCACACUGGUACUGAGACACGGACCAGACUCCUACGGGAGGCAGCAGUGAGGAAUAUUGGUCAAUGGGCGCAAGCCUGAACCAGCCAUGCCGCGUGCAGGGUGACGGUCCUAUGGAUUGUAAACUGCUUUUAUACGGGAAGAAACACUGCUACGUGUAGCAGCUUGACGGUACCGUAAGAAUAAGGAUCGGCUAACUCCGUGCCAGCAGCCGCGGUAAUACGGAGGAUCCAAGCGUUAUCCGGAAUCAUUGGGUUUAAAGGGUCCGUAGGCGGCUUUAUAAGUCAGUGGUGAAAAG